rnacentral:sRNA from 1 species
ACGCAAGAAAGGAGGUGGUCCAGAAGUGCAUUCUUUUAGGACUCGCGAGGUGUUCGCCCGCUAGGGCGACCCGUACUCGGAUCGCCCCUGGCGAAUCCACGGUGGACACCCAGACCCCCGGGUGGCCGGCCUUGUCCAGCCGGCCCCGUCGUACGACGGAAGUCACGCCCGGGGGUCCGUCCUGC